UACAGAGGGUGCAAGCGUUAUCCGGAUUCACUGGGUUUAAAGGGUGCGUAGGUGGGCUUGUAAGUCAGUGGUGAAAUCUCCGGGCUUAACCCGGAAACUGCCAUUGAUACUAUAGGUCUUGAAUUAUCUGGAGGUCAGCGGAAUAUGUCAUGUAGCGGUGAAAUGCUUAGAUAUGACAUAGAACACCAAUUGCGAAGGCAGCUGGCUACAGGUUGAUUGACACUGAGGCACGAAAGCGUGGGGAUCAAAC
rnacentral:rRNA from 1 species